GUUUUUCUGUCUGGUAGAACUGUUUUCGAUACCACUUGUGGCCUUUUAUGAGAAGGCUGGACAGUUUCCUUUGAUACUGUAUCGGCUCCAAACAUAUGCGUUGGAUCGACUGUUUGUAGAGGACAGUCCUACCUAAGGAUGGCGAACUGUAGUUUCUCGACUGGAUCGUCUGGAAAAAACCUUCAGGGUGUAUAGCCCAUGUUACACGGGAGCCGGUUUAGUCCGGUACACAAGGGGAAUUUUGGCCAAGGUCUGCACUAUUCUGGUUUCCGCCGCUAUUUGCAUUCGAGAAAUUGUCGAUCGAAGCAAGGACAGUGUCGCUAAAGACAGUUAACGUUAACAUUCUGUAUCUACACACUGCAACCACAUCAUUGUGUACGCAUUUGAAUCCAAAUGUAACGCUUUGUUGAAAACUGGAACGUUAAUUAUAUUUGCACUUAAAUUCAAAGUCCGUAGAUAUGCACAUGAUAGCUUUUUCCCGCAUUUUUAUCGGAGAGAUCACAUUGCUGAAGUUUAGCAGCUCAUAUGACCUUAUCAAGAAAAAUC